rnacentral:piRNA from 1 species
UUGGUGUAUCCCACAUGUUUGCCUAUCAGGU